AAUGUGACAGAAAGUGUGUCAUCUCAGCAUUCCAUUUACCUAGUCAUCGCCGAAAAAAGUCGAGGGACUACAUUGGUGUCCAAACUUAAAUCUGGAGGACCAGUAUAGAUAAUUUUGAAUUUUGAGGACCAAAAUGGGUAAUCCCAUGAAUCUCGGGGAUCAAAAUGGGGAUUUAGUCACUUUUUUCCUUCUA